rnacentral:ribozyme from 11 species
AAAAGAAAGAGGGAAAGGUCUGCAAGUCUGUCAUCUUCUUUGGAUUCUCCUUGAUUCUUCUCCUUUCUUUUCUCUCUUUUUUG